CUUUCACCUCCACCCCACACACAGUGAAGAGAGGAAGACCAGUGGAUAAUAUGUUUUUGGCAGUAAGGAUGCUGUCCAUUUAAAACCUGAAACACUUUUCAACUCUCUAACAGUUAACAAAUACAGAAGGAUGCAGCCUUACCCACACUAUAUAGUAUGAGGUGUUACUUUUUGUAUGCUCUUGUUUUUCAGAUGGAGGUUCUGACCCCUGCGCUGAGUUAGAGAUAAGGAGAACUCACUGAUGAUGAGACCCCCAGGCUUCCACAGAAGAACAAAGUCAAACAUGAGAGAGCAAGAGAGCAUGGAGUGAGGUAGAGAGAACUGCGAUGUAGAGUGCCUGGAAAAAAGGACUGUGAGCAAUGUAUACAUGGAGAAAAGACCUUGGCUCAAGGGUCAUGGAAAGAUGUCAAACUUUGUGUACAACACAAUUGUGACCCUUAGACGAAGCGGCGCUUCACGUAUUCUUAAGAAUUCAAAAGCCAAAUGUUUUUGCCAUUUACAGUCUCCUACUGAACUACUGAUUGAUAAUAAUCUGAAAUUAAUCUAUCCUGGACCAUAUAGUGUCAGAUGAUGUACUGUAAAAAGGCAAGACUAGCCACAAUAAGCUAGUGUUCAGCGUUCCUAAAACUCAAAACCAGUUGUAAAAAAUUCAAAGGAUUAUUUUGUUUUCAUUGUACUUUGCAAGACAGUGUUCCUUGUUUUCAAUUGAUUGUCUGAUAAUAUCAAUUUUCUUCAUAUUGGCCCUCACUUUAAUUGGUGAAUUAAUAGUAGUUAUGAUACAGUACACUUUACUGUAUUUUUUGAGUUGUACAAGAGGCAAUAGUUUGUUUCUGGAAUAAUUUAUUUCUGUUUAUGCUUAAUAAACAAUGGAUUUGGGGGUGGUGAUAGCGCACUUCAAUCCCCCACUGUGAACCA